GACGAACGCUGGCGGCGUGCUUAACACAUGCAAGUCGAACGGAAAGGCCCUUCGGGGUACUCGAGUGGCGAACGGGUGAGUAACACGUGGGUGAUCUGCCCUGCACUUUGGGAUAAGCCUGGGAAACUGGGUCUAAUACCGAAUAGGACCACGCGCUCCAUGGCGUGUGGUGGAAAGCUUUUGCGGUGUGGGAUGGGCCCGCGGCCUAUCAGCUUGUUGGUGGGGUAAUGGCCUACCAAGGCGACGACGGGUAGCCGGCCUGAGAGGGUGACCGGCCACACUGGGACUGAGAUACGGCCCAGACUCCUACGGGAGGCAGCAGUGGGGAAUAUUGCACAAUGGGCGCAAGCCUGAUGCAGCGACGCCGCGUGAGGGAUGACGGCCUUCGGGUUGUAAACCUCUUUCAAUAGGGACGAAGCGCAAGUGACGGUACCUAUAGAAGAAGCACCGGCCAACUACGUG
rnacentral:rRNA from 1 species